rnacentral:rRNA from 1 species
AACGAACGCUGGCGGCAGGCCUAACACAUGCAAGUCGAGCGCUUCACUUCGGUGAGGAGCGGCGGACGGGUUAGUAACGCGUGGGAAUAUGCCCUUCACUAUGGAAUAGCCUUGGGAAACUGAGAGUAAUACCAUAUACGCCCUUCGGGGGAAAGAUUUAUCGGUGAAGGAUUAGCCCGCGUUAGAUUAGAUAGUUGGUGGGGUAAUGGCCUACCAAGUCUACGAUCUAUAGCUGGUUUGAGAGGAUGAUCAGCAACACUGGGACUGAGACACGGCCCAGACUCCUACGGGAGGCAGCAGUGGGGAAUCUUAGACAAUGGGCGCAAGCCUGAUCUAGCCAUGCCGCGUGAGUGACGAAGGCCUUAGGGUCGUAAAGCUCUUUCGCCAGAGAUGAUAAUGACAGUAUCUGGUAAAGAAACCCCGGCUAACUCCGUGCCAGCAGCCGCGGUAAUACGGAGGGGGUUAGCGUUGUUCGGAAUUACUGGGCGUAAAGCGCACGUAGGCGGAUUGGAAAGUAGGGGGUGAAAUCCCAGGGCUCAACCCUGGAACUGCCUCCUAAACUAUCAGUCUAGAGUUCGAGAGAGGUGAGUGGAAUUCCAAGUGUAGAGGUGAAAUUCGUAGAUAUUUGGAGGAACACCAGUGGCGAAGGCGGCUCACUGGCUCGAUACUGACGCUGAGGUGCGAAAGCGUGGGGAGCAAACAGG